CUGUUACUUGAAAUCAAGUGGUUCUAACUUAUGGAAGAUGGUUUCAUCAGUGUCUAGACAUGCUAACCUUUAAAGUCUUAUUGUUUUUGGAGAGUUUCCACCCCUCCAGGUUCGAAGCCAUUACCAGAGUGCUGCUGAAGCCCCUUGCAGAUGUGAGGGGACCUCUCAUGCCAAGUCUUAUGGCUGCAAAGACAUCGCAUUCCACAGUGUGGUGUCAGAGAAGAGGUAAAGGGCAUAAUUUUUCUUUUUUGGGAAAUUGCUGAUUUUUUUUCCCUAGUUAUAUAAGCAAUAACUGUUCAAUAUAAAAAUUUCAGGAUGUAUAGAAAACCAUAAACAGGAAAUGAAAAACAAUAACCUGUUAUUCCAACUCUUGGAGAUAGCCACCUUUAGCAUCCUGGUGGGUAGUUUUCCAGGAAGGAAUUUUUUAAAAAGGAGAAACAAAACCCUAAUGAGGCUCCUCCUGUUACCUAGACCCAAGGGAGCAAGUCAGAAGCCAGCUAGAAAUGCAGAUGGAGACCUUGCCAAGUUUUAACUAGAAGGGGCUUGUGGGGUACAUUCAAAGGAGGUGUCAUUCCUACCCUCAGUGAGACCAGUUAAUAACAUCCAGGCAAAAUUAAAAUUUGGGAAUGGAAAAAAAACAGGAGAAAUGCUUAACACUUUUUUUUUUUCUCUUUGAAGGAGAUACUGAGGGAAUCUGCCUAUAGGGCUGUAGGCAAAGGGCUCAGAGGAAACUGUAAACAAAACAGAGUUCUGUCCAGCCCUAGUUUUCAUAGGCAGUUGCUACUUUUUAGUGAAAGCUAGUAAGGAAUUUUCAGACAUUCAAAAAUGUAAUCCAUGGGGAAAAAACCCCUACAAUGUAAGUAAUAAAAUUAUCACCCAUUUUAUGGUUGAAGAAAUGGAGACUCACGUGAGGUAACUUGCCUAAGGACACACACCAAGGGAAAGGAGGCAGAGCUGGGAGUCAAAUCCAAAAUUGCCUCAAAAUCAUUACUUUUCCAUCACAGCACAUUGUUUUGAGGCACCUUAUUCUGGAAAAACAGGUAAAGUCCUGGCUUCCAUCAAGGUACAAGGAUCUGUAUACUCUUACAGAAUGUAUCCUCCAAAUUUGGAGACUCAACCAUAAACUAUCAUCCUCCGAAAUGGAUGCUAAGAAUGUGGAAGAAAACAUUCUCCAAAUCUUCUUAGGGAAUAAGCUGGCCUGGUAGAUUAUUUAUAAAUGUAACUCUCAAGAUGACAGCAUUCCCAUCUCCUCCAGCAGUCCUGGGAGAGAACUCUCUCCAGUCACCUUGGGAAGAUUUCCCUCUCCUACAACAGCUAACAUCAGUGGAGCUGCCAGCAUAUUCACUCUAAGGACACAACAAAAGGCACUAUCUUUGAAGAGCGUGAACCCUUACCAGAUGGAAUCUGCUGACACCUUGAUCUUGGACUUCCCAGCCUCCAGAACUGUGAGAAUAAAUUUCUGUUGUUUAUACAUUACCCAACCUAAGAUAAUCUUCUUAUAGCAGCAGGAACCAUCUAAGACAUCCUCUAAGGUGAGAUGCAACUACAACUCUGAUGAUGUGUCUCCCCACCAUGAAAUGAUGCUGCACCACUGACUAGGCCAUCCUAGGGCAUGAUGCUUUGUGGUAGCUGCCUCUGCCAUCUAAAUGGGGACCACUACAGCCACAAGCUGAGCAGGCAUUCUGGUUCCUAGCUUUUCUCAUUGAGAAAUCAGGGCAAGCAGCCUCAUUUACCUAAGUUGCAGGUUCUCUUGAGCUGUGUAGGCCCAUUCUCAGCUCCCUGUGGUGUCUUCUUCAUAUGUACAAUAACGUGUAAACAUUUAGAUGUUUGUCUACAUAUUUGAAGAGGCAUGCUGAUGCUGAAAUAUUUUUCUCUUUUGAAGAGAGGGAAAGCAGCUUGACUGAAAACCAAUAGACUCCCCAACUUUAUAACUAACUUAUAAUCACUUCACCUUCUAGGGCUGGUUUCCUCUACCAGAAAAUGGGGAAAGACAAACUGGUUUCGCAACCAGUGAAACCAUUCAGCCAAUAGCGAGAAAUAAACAGACAAGCUCCUUUAAAAAUGA
rnacentral:lncRNA from 1 species